ACAAACUUGGUCAUUUAGAGGAAGUAAAAGUCGUAACAAGGUUUCCGUAGGUGAACCUGCGGAAGGAUCAUUAUCGAGUUUUGAAAGGGGUUGUAGCUGGCCUUUCGGGGCAUGUGCACGCCUCGCUCAUUUCCAACUCUAACACCUGUGAACUAGCUGUAGGUCGGUGUAGGAGUCGGUUCUAAUGGAGCCUUCUUCAAGCCUUCCUAUGUCUUUAACAAACUCCAAUAGUAUUAGAAUGUAUUCGCGCUUUAUAAACGCAUCAAUAUAACUUUUAGCAACGGAUCUCUUGGCUCUCGCAUCGAUGAAGAACGCAGC
rnacentral:misc_RNA from 1 species